ensembl:snRNA U2 U2 spliceosomal RNA
AUCGCUUCUCGGCCUUUUGGCUAAGAUCAAGUGUAGUACAUGGUAAUAUAAGUGGCACCCCAU